UCCUCCUGAAUUUGUGUUACAUGUUGCCGAGGAACCAGGGGGAGGGGAGAGGGAAUGCGAGGUGAUCGUUUCCCGGUUGACAUAGCAACUGCCCGGGAGGCGUUCUAAUUCACCGAUGGAAAGCAACUGAAAGGUCCCUGUGUUGCAACUCCAGGACCAACACUCGGUUAUGAGGACAACAGGGAAGGGCUGGAUAACCUAGUUGUUUAGGGCAAUAUAGUGACCACCAAUGUGACCUUCCCAGACAGCCUGUCCAUAACACUAUGCCAGAGACUAAAUAUUGAAGAUAACGCAGACAUAUCUAACCAUCAGACUCUGCCUACAAUCCCCUCAUCCAUCAAGAUGUUAAGAGAUGUAGAUCCAACAGUGUUUGCCAUCCAGAGAGGAGAUGCUCAAGCUGUGAAAGAGCUGUCAGUGACUGCACCACUCAGCCUGACGAAAGAGAACAAAGAAGGAUAAAUACCUUUGCAUGAGGCUGCAUAUUGUGGCCAAGCUGAAUAUAUCAAGGCACUGCUGAAAGCACAACCAGGAUUAGUUGACAAGCGCACCCUCUAAGAACAGGCUGCUCUCCUCCUGUCAUUUUCCAUGCAACAACUGUCAUGUGUGCAAUGCCUCCUACAGGCAGGGCCAGAUCCUGACAUCAGCAGCAAGAACAAAGAGACUUCCCUAUACAAAGGUACAGCACCCUACGUGGCUAUAGCAUGUACGAUAAUGGCUUUGAGGAAUAUGUAGUACUGAAGCAUGGUGUCUUCUGCCAGUCUGUCUAACCCAAUGUUCUCUGAUGCCUUCUAGCGUGUGAGUGGGAGAACGUGGACAUUUUUUUAAAUGUAUUUUUAUUUUACCUUUAUUUAACCUUAACAAUCACGGGCCUACCCUGGCAAAACCCUGACGACGCUGGGCCAAUUGUGCUACGCCGGGCCAAUUGUGCUACGCCCUAUGGGACUUCCAAUCACGGUCAGAUGUGAUUCAGCCUGGAUUCAAACCAGGGACUGUAGUGUCGCCUCUUGCACUGAGAUGUAGUGCCUUAGACCACUGCGCCACUCGGGAGCCCCAAAUGGUGAGCCUCAUCCUGUCAUUCGGUGCCACAGUGAACCAGAGGUGUAACCGGGGCUGGACAGCCCUCCACAAGGCAGUGUGCAGGGACAACAUAGAGAUUUGGUAUUUUAUUAGGAUCCUAUUAGCUGUUGCAAAAGCAGCAGCUACUCUUCCUGGGGUCCACA